rnacentral:sRNA from 1 species
GAUUUAUCCGAAUCCAAAGUCCUCAAACCUACGCUUACAGACCUUAAAAAUCUGUAUUUAUCACAAUCCAUAAUCAGAAAAUUAACGAUUAGACACUUUGUGGAUAGGCAUAUUGAUUUGUCAGAAUCCAAAUUCAGCAAACAAAUCCCUAUAGACUUACAAAUUCUUGGUAAAAUUUUUUGAAAAUGUUAUUAUUAUUUGUUUAUUUGCGAUUGGU